UGCUGGAUAUAAUACAAAAGAAUCUGGAGUACUUGUGUUACAUAUUUCACCAUCAGGUUCUAUUGAGCUGAGUUGGGUACAUUCUACAGAUGAUAUGGUCAUUGCUUACAAUUCUAAUGAUAAAUCAAAGUCUUUUAUGUCUCAGUUGGAAAGAAAGGCAAUACCUGAUGGGAUAAGAACAACAGCUGGGUGGCUUUCAUUUUA